rnacentral:rRNA from 1 species
ACGGAGGGUGCAAGCGUUGUUCGGAAUUAUUGGGCGUAAAGGGCGGGUAGGCGGUUGUGCAAGUCAGUUGUGAAAUACUUCGGCUUAACCGAAGAACUGCAUCUGAUACUGCAUAACUAGAGUACGGGAGAGGAGAACGGAAUUCCCGGUGUAGGGGUGAAAUGCGUAGAUAUCGGGAGGAACACCGAUGGCGAAGGCGGUUUCCUGGCUGAAAACUGACGCUGAGGCGCGAAAGCGUGGUGAGCAAACAG